CCUUCCGGCCAGUGGGGUGAAAGACCUGAGUGAACGUGGGAGCCCCACGCCUGAGGACUCCUCCUGCGGGUGUAUCGUUCCUGACAGAUUCUCCCACAGAAGGCGAUCGCGUGUGCUGGCUACCUCCCCUCCGUCCACCUGUCUCCUCUCUGUCCAGGUCCCACGUAUGAGUGCCAUCACCUGUCUUGCUCUGCCUGACUUAUUUCACGGGGCAUAACGCCCUCCAGGUGCAUUCACGUUGUCUGAUUUGGAAUCUUAACGCCACGUGCAGUGUCCCCUUCACAGCAGCACCUAUGUGAGCUUGGGGAGGAGGCGUGUGUGCCCCGGGGGGGGGGGGGGGGAGAGCAGGAAUCUUGGGAGCCAUCUGAGAAUUCUGCCCUACAACGAGGGAUCGGUGGAGACGGGAGGAGGUAGGGAGGGCCUCCUAGGGGAAGCAUAAAGGGAAAGACAAGGGAGCCAUCCCAGGCAAAGAGAAGUGUCCAUCCAAGGCCGUGAGAUGGGAAGGCUGGCAGGUGCCGCGAGCCUGCAGAGCUGUUCCGGGGAAAAGAGCAGCCAGUGCACUGGAGAAUGGGCGUGAUAGUAAAUAGUAGCUACAAUUGUUACUCUGAUACUAGAAGUCUGGGAGGACUCGCUUUCUCUCUCUGGCACCCCCCCCUCCCGGUGACCUUGGGUGGGUCACUUCUCUCUCCCUGGCUCCACGUCUGGUGCCGGCAACGCCUCUCUUCCCCCCGCCCCCCCCCCCACCUCCUUGAGACAACAGAGCUGAGUCGGGAGGAGGCCACAAGUUGGGCACAGCCCCAGCGGUGGCAAAGGACGGCGGCCGGGGCUCGGGAAGCUGGGCGAGUGGCAGCAAAUUUGUAUGUGGUGCGGGUCUGUGCCAGGCACAGUGCUGGGCGUGGUGAGAUAAGGGGCCCAGGAAGAGCCCGGACUUGGCCUCUGGGGCUGAAUUCCAAACCGCCCCCCAGGAGGCCGGGAGCAGGCAGUGGAAACCGCCCACCGUGGGCUUGGUGCCCGGAGGAAGGCAGAGCCUCCACGGUCCUGGAUGCCUGUGGGUCGGCGGCUUGGAGCCUGGGAGCCUCAGAGCCCCUCUGCAAGGGGAGGGCGUCCCCGCUCCGACUCAUGUGCUGGGUCCCCUGGCUCCUAUGGACCACAUCUUAAAGUGCCCCUCCUCGGAAGCCCUCCAGGACCACCGAGCCAAAGUCACAGCUUGAGCCAGAAGCCCCUGCGUCUCCAGCAGCACCGCCUUAUUCUUUCUCUCUCUCUCUUUUAAAUAUUUAUUUUUGAGAGAGAGAGAGAAAGAAAGAGAGGGAGACACAGAAUCGGAAGCAGGCUCCAGGCUCUGAGCCGUCAGCACGGAACCCGACGCAGGGCCCGAACCCAUGAGCCAUGAGAUCAUGACCUGAGCUGAGGUCGGAAGCUCAACCGACUGAGCCCCUCCAGGCGGCCCUGCUUUAUUCUCUCUCGAUGGCAUUGAUACAGGUGACCAGGGCGGCACCAUCCGUGGUCAGUCAAGUGGAUCCACGUGCUCCCCCUCCCCCCACACCGCCCCCUCUGAGAGGACGUGCUCAGAAAAGCACUUCGCUGUCAGCUGGCUUCGGGUUUCUCCCCAGGACGCCCCAAAGCGGUCAAAGUCCUCAAAACCCAAGGCAAGUUUGGGAAAUGAUCACAGACCAGCGGAGACUUGAGAAGGCAUGACAGAGGCCGGGCGGUACCCCGGGUGGGGUCCUGGAACAGAAAAGGGGCAUCAAGGGAAAAUGAGCUAAAUCUGAGUAACGCCUCGCGUUUUGUUGACAGCAGUCUAGUGGCUUUGGUUCCUGGGUUUUGAGAGAUGCGCUGUGGUAACGGGAGAGGGUAGCACGAGGGGGCCCUGACUCGGGGACACAUGGGAAGUCCCCGUACUAUCACUGCAAAUUCUCUGUGAACCGAAAACUUCU